CAGACAGUGCUGACCACAGGCCACAAUCAGCAGUGGAAAAUAUUUCUGAGCCGAGGCCUAGCUGAUUAGCUCAGGGAAGGUAGAGCCCAGCUGGGGAGUGAGCAAUUAGAGGUAUAAGAAGCAGGUCUGCGUGAGUUUACCUGGGAGGAGGCUGGUAAGGGCUUCAGGGAGGCAAUGAGGAGUUAGAAGUAAACUUUCCCCUUCUACCGCCUCCCCCCCGCCAAUUUCUUUCUAGAAAACUGCAGUAGAAUACAAGGGUAUGCACUUUCUAUCUAAACUAGUUCCAAGAAUACGCCUCCAAAGCUAUGAAUUACUGAAAUUUGCAGAAAUAGCACUGGGCUGUUUUGAAAGCCAUCCUAUGAGAUGAGGAAAAAGAUACCUGGUUUGACUAUGAGCUUGAACAUGGAAAGACUUUGGACUUUUAUCCAUUCAGCCACACUUCUUUCUGAGACAGUUGCUUUUCUGUCCCAGGAGUCGUGGGCAAGGCUCUGAAAUAUCUGGAGGUGAGGGGGGGGCAGGGGCAGCAGGGCGGGCUGGUAUACUGGGGGCAGAACCACCUGCUCUCUCCUUGACUCUGAGCUAGUGACCUCCACUCCCUCCUGCUCCACCCCUGUGCCUGAGCCUGCAGGUCCCGCCGGAGCCACCAGGGGGUGGCAGUGAGCCAAAAAGAGAAAGUCCAGGAAGGGGACCAUCUGGCUUUAGGAGGGCCCGGCCCCUUGGCUCCUCAUCCAGUCCCCACCCACGGUCCGAGAAAUGUCUGGAACCUUCUAGGACAGCCAGAUCUUGACCUACCAGUACGGGAUCCCGACCUCUCUCCAGAAGGCAGGCCAGCAGUGGGACUUCCCCAGUGCCUGGGCCCCCUUGCAGGACCUGGUCAUCAGAGGUAGGGAGGCAGCAGCGGGGCACAUCCCAGGGCCUGCCCUCCUUGCAUCUAGAGGGUCAGCCCCCUGGUACUGGGGAGGCGUGAACGGAGGAUGUGAGGUCUUUCUCUGGCUCUUCUGUUCUCAUGGCUUCCCCCUCAGCAGACAUUUGUGCCUGCCCCCACCUGGCCAGGGAACCAGCCCUCCUUUCUCUCUCCAAACCCAGGCCCUGGGGAAAGAGCACGUUGGCUUUUCACGUGGUUUCAAGAUGGAGGUCUUGAGGCUCGGGCCUCUUUCCCUCCUUGAGGAGAGUAAGGUUCAGGCCUAUGCUCCCUCUGGGUUGGGGACUCAGGUGGCUCAGGGUCCUGCCUGGGGCGGGGUGGGGUCGAGGUCUGGCCAAGUGUCCUUCACCUCGGGCCCAGGAAGUGGCUUUCCAGCUGGCUCAGAAUUGGAUCCGAACCAACUUUGAGGUCUACUCCAGAAAGUCAGCCAUGUAUGAGAAGUAUGACAUCAGCAACGGUGGUCAGCCAGGUGGUGGAGGGGAGUAUGAAGUUCAGGAGGGCUUUGGCUGGACCAGUGGAGUGGUCCUGAUGCUCCUGGCCCGCUACGGCGACCGACUGGCUAUGGCAAUGAGCCAGAGAAACCAGGGCCCCAUCUUCCUGGACCUUACAUAAUUAGCAGGGAGAGUGCCGAUCGAAGCACAACUAAAAGUAAAAUGAGUCCAAGACCAAUGUCUUCCUUGGCUGACUCUACCACACAUCGAAAGAAUUAACACCACCCCUUCUCAAGAUCUUCCAAAAUGGAAGAGGAGGAAACAUUCCUAACUCCUCCUAGAGACCAGCAAUGCAUUUCAACGUCGUACCAGAAGUUCUAGCAGAACAACAGAACAAGAACAAGAAAAAAAAGCAUGCAAAUUGGAAAGGAAGAGCGUCUCUAUUCCCAGAUGACAUGAUUCUGUAUAUAGAAAAUCCCAAGGAUCCACAGGAAGGCUGCUGGGUCUAAUAAACAGAUUCAGCAAAGCUGCAGACGCAAAUCACCAGUCAAAAAAAUCAGUUGUGUCUCCACACAUCUGCCAAGAACAACCUGAAAAGGAAAUUUGAGAAGCAAUCCCAUGUGCAAAAACAGCUAAAAAAUAAAAUACCUAGGAAUAAAUUCCAUUUACAUUAAGUGUCUGGAAUAGGUAAAUUUAUAGACACAGAAAGUUGAAUAGUGGCUUCCAGGGGCCAUG